CUAGGAAUUUUGCGCAAUGGGGGCAACCCUGACGCAGCGACACAGCGUGGAGGAGGAAGGUCUUCGGAUUGUAAACUCCUUUUAUAUGGGAAGAAUAGAUGACUGUACCAUAUGAAUAAGCACCUGCUAACUACGUGCCAGAAGCAUCGGUGAUGCGUAGGGUGCGAACGUUAUCCGGAUUUAUUGGGCGUAAAGAGAUGCGUAGGCGUUUCAGUUAGUCUUUCGUUAAAAGUCACGGCUUAACCGUGAAGAUGCGUUGGAUACUGCUGAAAUUGAGACAUGAAGGGGUGAACGGAACUCCAAGUGGAGCGGUGAAAUGCGUUGAUAUUUGGAAGAACAUCAGAGGCGAAGGCGGUUCACUGGUCAUUGUCUGACGCUAAGGCUCGAAAGCGUGGGUAGCAAAACGG
rnacentral:rRNA from 1 species